rnacentral:rRNA from 1 species
UAGGGAAUAUUAGAAAUGGACGAAAGUCUGAUCUAGCAACACCGCGUGUGCGAAGAAGGCCUUCGGGUUGUAAAGCACUUUUUGGUAAGGAUUAGGAAGGAAUGUACUUCCAGAAUAAGUCUCGGCUAACUACGUGCCAGCAGCCGCGGUAACACGUAGGAGGCAAACGUUAUCCGGAUUUACUGGGCGUAAAGCGCGUGUAGGUGGUUCUGUAAGUAGGGCGUGAAAGCUCCUGGCUCAACUGGGAGAGGCCGUUCUAAACUGCAGAGCUAGAGGAUGGUAGAGGGAGGUGGAAUUCCGGGUGUAGCGGUGGAAUGCGCAGAUAUCCGGAGGAACACCAGUGGCGAAAGCGGCCUCCGUGGACCAUUCCUGACACUCAGACGCGAAAGCUAGGGUAGC